AGGUUCGACUCGAGCGAAGCGAGAAAACGUUGCACGAGCAACGGCCCGCAG
rnacentral:sRNA from 1 species